rnacentral:rRNA from 1 species
GUCUAUGGCCAUGCCACUCUGAACAUGCCUGAUCUCGUCUGAUCUGGAAGCUACGUAGGGUUGGGCCUGGUUAGUACUUGGAUGGGAGAUCACUUAGGAAUAUCACGUGCUAUAGGUG